UACCUCCAGCUGUGAUGGCGAAAGAUGCCUCUUUCUCAGGCAUAUUUGGGCUGCAAAAACAAUUCCAGAAAAUUGAAAAUGAUUCAUAUGGAAUAAGAACUGAUUAUAAAACAAUGCAUACCUGUCAAAUAUUUUGACAAUUCUCAUCUCAGCACGUCCCUUCCUCAAGCUCAACCUUGUGGUGGAAGCGUGGGCCAGGAUGUGGCCGCCGAUCGGCUUCUUCGGAUCAGCUUGGAAUCUAAAUGGGGGGAAUAUAGGCAAAUCUGCUUCGUCAAAGUUUCACGAAAUGAGAAUGUGUCUUUCCUUACGUCAUCCCUGCGCCAGGAUCAGCAGUCAUUUGUUUUCUGGAAGCGACACUGUGUUGGUUCAGACCUUCAGAAAUCUUCUGCAGCCUGGAGAGCAUCAGGGCCAGUUUCUGCUGCCUCUCUGCCAACUCACCUCGACCCGAGAAGUCAACUCUGAACAGGGCCAUGAUGGAGUCAAUAAUCUAAUGAAGACACAUGUUAUUAGAAUAUAAAAACAAUCAACUAUUGAUCAAAGUUUUCAUUACCAAAAGCUUGAAGAUUCCUGCUUCCUCAUGAAAUUUAGCUGCCACAAAGUCCAAUAGCUUCAUCUGAUGCUCACCUGAAGGAACAACCGAAAGUGACCUGGAUGAGAUGAAACACCUAUGCCUCAUGUAAAGCAUUUGUGAUGCAUAUUCUUACUGGUAUAAGCCCGAGCAUAUAGAACAUUGUCAAGGACUUCAUUGUGGUCCAAAUUAAACCUAUCGGCAAUGUCUCUCAGUCGAUCUGGGCGACUGCAAAAGACAUUAAGGGCAAUAGAAACAAAAAAAGAAAGAAGAAAAUUCUUAUUCAUUCCAGCGAGGAUACAAAGUGUGCUCUGUGUCAAUAAAGAUGACUUUCCCA